AUUGAACGCUGGCGGCAGGCUUAACACAUGCAAGUCGAACGGUAACAGGGAGUAGCUUGCUACUUUGCUGACGAGUGGCGGACGGGUGAGUAAGGUAUGGGAAUUUGCCGAAUGGAGGGGGACAACAGUUGGAAACGGCUGCUAAUACCGCAUAACGUCGCGAGACCGAAGGGUGGACUUCGGGCCACCUGCCAUUUGAUGACGCCAUAUGAGUAUUAGUUAGUUGGUGUAGGUAACG
rnacentral:rRNA from 1 species